rnacentral:tRNA from 1 species
AAGGUUAUAGCUCAGUGGUAGAUAGAGCACGUGCUUAGCAUGCAUGAGGUCUUGGGUUCAAUCCCCAGUACCUCUG